AGUCUUAGAUGCUCUUUCAGUUAAGGGAUUAGCAGGAGUGUCACUGUGAGAACCGUGGACUAAGUGAUCUUUCCAGGACAUUGGUGCAAGGAAGGCCAAGCACUGGGAAAAUGACCCACGUGGACUGGAUGAGUGUCCCAAAGGAAUAGAUGAGGAGAAAGGAAAGAGAAAAAGAUGUCUCUGGUGUGACAACUGAUGUGACUGUGACUGAUGGACCAGAUAAGCUUACUAGUGAAGGAUCAGGCUAAAAUAACUUGAGGAUGUGGAAUGGCAAUUAUCCAGCUACAAAAUGAUUGAUUAAAACCGUGCAACAGUUA